rnacentral:tRNA from 1 species
GGCUGUGUAGCUCAGUGAUAGAGCACUUGCUUAGCACUCAAGAAGCCCUGUUUCCAUCCUCAGCACUGCUU